AAGAUGUUUAAUGCAUUCCUGAUGUUUAGUUAGUUAAGAUGUUUAAUUAUGAACUAUGAUGCUUUAGGUGUCUGACUUAGUGCUUUCGGUUAGUUUGACUAUGAACUAUGAAGUGUGAACUUUAGUUGAUUGUUUGAUCUUCUUGAUACUUGAAUCUUGAUUAUGUUUUGAGAAUGUUUUUGCAGGAAUAAUUCAAGACUUCAAGACUCCAUGUCUAAGUCAUAGAGUUUGUAUUAAGGUUGUAAAAGUGUAAAUUUUGUUUAUUGGAUUGAUCAUGCAGGAGAUUAUCGUUUGGUGAUUGCGAUGAUCUUCUUUUUAUGACUUAUUGGUUGUAUACAAACUUUGUGUUAUAUUUUGUCACGAAAUCGCCAAAGGGGGAGAUUGUUAAGGAUUUUAUAGGUUGGCGAAUUUCGUAAAGUUGUUUGGAGUCUUGAAGAGUUGAUCGCAGAAGUUUUUGAGAAAAGAUUCAAAUUGGAGGACAAAGACUCAUUCGGAAAGAUCGACACCUAAGGUAUGAAGAAAAGAUCAUUUGUGGUGAAGAUACAUAAUUAGAAUAAGUUCAGAAGGCUUAGAUUGUUUUUAAACAACUUUUCUGAACUUUCUUGUGUUCUGGGACCGGUCUCUGAAAUGGAGAGACCGGUUCCCCCAAGGUCCUCACUGCGUAAACCUUGAUGCAACCGGUCCCCUGUGAUGAGAGACCGGUUCCCGAACCUUGGUGGUUCUGUCGCGCAGCGAGGGACCGGUCUCAAGUUUGAGAGACCGGUUCCCGAACGUGGGGUUUUUGGUCACGCAGGGAGGGACCGGUUCCUCACUUGAGAGACCGGUCUCUCACAGACCGGUCUCCUCGACAGGACCGGUCUCUGAGGACGACACAGGUUUUUGAAAUCGACUUUUUGCAAUCCUAGUCUACUUCUAAGUCUUCUAAACAUAUAAAUAAGCUAUGUGGGUCAUCUAAAAUUAAGGCUUUGAAUAUUUUACCAAUUCCAAACCCUAGAAACUUGUUUUCUUCCCGUUUCAAUGCUUCGAUUUACAUGAUGAGUUUCUAGCAAUCAACAUCGGCUUGAUUCUUCGUUUUUACUCGAUACUUCUUACGAGAAUCAAGUAGAUGAUUGAUUAAAGGUGAACCCUCAUAGCUUAUGGUUUUCAAAAGUUAAAUCACCACAAAUCUUCAAUUCUACAAGCUCCGGAAGGAGGUUCGGCGCGUGGAUCUCGCGUGAAGCCGAGGAUUCGGUGGACGCUUCGAGGAGUUGAGGCGUUGACGCUGCGAGGAGUUGCAGCAAGGUCGAUUGGUGGAUUCCUAUCGAUCGAGGACCGGCAAAGAUCACCGUCAACAAGAAAUCGGUAAAUUGAGUCGUGGGUUUUUGUCGAAAUCACUUGUACUCAAGUUUUCUUAGUGGAUUUUCUUUGCGUAAUCGGUCACGUGGGUUUUUCACUCCGAAUUGGAGUUUUCCCACGUUAAAUUCUCGGUGUGCUGUUUUAAUUUUCGCUAUUUUGUUUGUUUGCAUCGAGAUUUUUCGAGUUUGCCGGAUUUACACCUAUUCACCCCCCUCUAGGUGUUACUUACCUUUUAGAUCCUCGGGAUCCAUAUCUUACACAAUGAAAGGACGUUUGUAAAGUCCUCGGUGCAGCUUCGUACGCCGUCUCAACGUGCUUCUUCCCCUCCUGCAGCUCCACCUCCUGCUACUGCUACUUCUUCCCGUCCUUCUAUGGACAUUUCUGAGGAAGAUAUUUCCGUUUCAUCGGUGUAUCGCGAGCAGCAACGUCUAUCUGAGGAGUUUCAGAAGUUGUCUGCAGAACAAGCUGCGAUUCGUAAGGAUGUGAGCAAGAUGAAGCGCCUGUUGAAUAUAAUUUUUGACAAAUUGGGAUGUUGUCGGGCAGAUUUACCUCCAGGAGAUGAUUCUGACUAGGAGUUACCGAGCUUCUCCUUUUGUCGUUUUGGCGCUUUCUGACAAAAAGGGGGAGAGAUGGAUGGAUGGUCUCUAUGAUGAUGAUGAUGCAUUUAGCUUAGGGCUUUGCUUAGUUAAGAUGAAGAUGAACUUUGUUUUAAUGCUUUAGGUGUUUGACUUAGUACUUUCGUUUAGUUUGACUAUGAACUAUGAAGUGUGAACUUUAGUUGAUUGUUUGAUCUUCUUGAUAAUUGAAUCUUGAUUAUGUUUUGAGAAUGUUUUUGCAGGAAUAAUUCAAGACUUCAAGACUCCAUGUCUAAGUCAUAGAGUUUGUAUUAAGGAUGUAAAAGUGUAAAUUUUGUUUAUUGGAUUGAUCAUGCAGGAGAUUAUCGUUUGGUGAUUGCGAUGAUCUUCUUUUUAUGACUUAUUGGUUGUAUAUGAGCUUUAUAGUAUAUUUUGUCACGAAAUCGCCAAAGGGGGAGAUUGUUAAGGAUUUUAUAAAUUGGCGAAUUUCGUAAAGUUGUUUGGUGUCUUGAAGAGUUGAUCGCAGAAGUUUUUGAGAAAAGAUUCAAAUUGGAGGACGAAGACUCAUUCGGAAAGAUCGACACCUAAGGUAUGAAGAAAAGAUCAUUUGUGGUGAAGAUACAUAAUUAGAAUAAGUUCAGAAGGCUUAGAUUGCUUUAAAACAACUUUUCUGAACUUUCAUGUGUUCUGGGACCGGUCUCUGAGAUGGAGAGACCAGUUCCCCUAAGGUCCUCACUGCGUAAACCAUGAUGCAACCGGUCCCCUGUGAUGAGAGACCGGUUCCCGAAC
rnacentral:lncRNA from 1 species